UUUUGAUGCUAAUUAGAUAUGACAGUGACUCUCAAGGUCACACAAUUAUUGGCUGUCACAAACUCAUGGAUGCCAGGAGUUAUGUUGAAGUAUGCCUGUGGCUCUUUGGCCUUCUCAAGUCUGAGGCUCAAUACCAAGGCCAAAACUAGUUCCCAGCCCAUGCAUACUAUCCCCCAUUUCUCAGGGGGUCUUCUACCAAAAUGAAUGUAUAAACUAAGAAAGAAGAAAGCGUGAGAUUCAGGCAACACGAGGUCCAGCUUAAUGGAGGGAGGAAGCAAAUCUCUAAUUGAUGGUGAAAGGAGGCUUUGGGUCCACAGCUGUGAAACAGGGGUAGCUGGCAACCAGUCCAGAGGAUCCAGAGAUAGAGCUCCAGGAAGUUGAACUUGAUAGAAUAUCUGAUGUGUCUGAAGGACAGGGGAAGUGGGGAAGGGUUUAGAUGGAGAGGUGAGAGCUGAGGUUAGGGUUAGUGUUAGGGUUCGGGUUAGGGUUAGGGUUAGAGUUAGGGUUAAGGUUAGUGAUAGCUAUGGGAAAUUGUAUCAGAUACGCACUCUAUGAGCCUCUUCUAGCUGUUGCUGCAGUGGGCCAACCAGUAGUCCCCAGAGUUUGUGUUUUCCCAUCACGGCCAGUGUUGGAUGAGACCCUUUGCCACGGGGUGUGGGACCUGGGCAGCCCAAGAAGAGACCGGAUAAUGCAACCUGGAUGUGCCUGGAAAUACAUUCACGGUGAGAAAACGUUACCGAAGUGAGAGACCAGAGACAGGAAGGAGGCGACAGAUGAAUUUUCUUUCCUUCUGCUCUUCCAUGGCGGAUGCAAAGAUGUGGUUUCACUUUGCAGCUCGCUCAGUUGGAGAAAUAGCAGGUGCAAAUGAACAUACCUGGCCACGCCACCGGCUGCAGCUCUUCAUGGCUCUUGUGUCACCAAGGUGGUGACACACCACUUUGCAUUGUUGCCCAUUUUCAAAAGAUACAUUUAAAAACGCAUUUCCAGUGCUAGUUAUGAUAAAGGGCAAGAUUGUGGUUGUGUUGCUGUUCACUCUAAGAUGGAGUUAGGGUAAGUGUAUGUUUCACUUCUAAGGGAACUUGCAGUUUUCUGGAGUAAUUGUGCCUUUUUCUAUUUCCUCUAGCUCAGGUGAUUUGCCUGUGAUGCUCCUCAAAGGAGUGGCCGUCUCAUCAGAACUUCCUGCAGUCGGCAGUGGGCCUGCAUCACCUGCAGUGAUGGAACAGACGUCGUUAAUCCAUCAAGACGUUCUCCGUGUGAGCCAGGAGCCAGCCUCAUAGGCCUCCAUGCAGCCCCGCCAAUCAACCCAAGAUGGCACCCCCUCCUCCAGGAAGCCUCCUUGCUUCAGCCCCAGAGCCUCCCCGCGCACCAGUGUGACCGUGGCCUUGCACAGUUCCAGAGAAGGGGGACCCUGUCGGCAUGGUGACAAAGGCACGGGCCAGGCCAAGAGAGCGGGUGCCCAGAGGCGCUGUCCACGCUGCCUCUCACUGUCCUGGCGUCAGGAAGACUCGGCUCAUGUUCUCGGCCCUGGAAACUAUGCCCUCAUCUUGGGCUUUCUCCAUCACCACCAGCUCCGCUCGCUUGGACAGCCGCCCCGGGGAAUUCGCUCAGCAAAACAAAUAGACAUGUAUUUGGUAUCGGAUCACUGGCAGCGGGGAUGGGUUCUGGCCCGUGGACUGGAGCCGAGGCCAAGUACCGUUCUCCGGAAGCAUGAGGCCUCCCCCCGCAUGCAGACCCCAGGUGGGAGGGCACAGGACCGAGGGACAGCGGCUCCACGUGUGCAUGGGCCCCCCUGAAGCUCCGGAGCGACUGUCCAAGGUCACACAGCAAGUUUGGAGGAGCCGCCCCGGGAACCCAGGCUCCCAGCCCUCCCCGCCCAGGUGCCCCCCGGGCUGGCUUGUGCAGGAUGGACAUCAUCCUUGGGUGUUUGCCAGCGCUUGGAGCUUAAUGAGGUAGACGCUGAUUUAAUGAGUAGAAAGGCCAGUUUGGGGAUUCUCGGAUACAAUGAUAAUCAUCAUUCCUAAAGAAGGACAACAGAACUUUACAAGAUUUUAAAGUAAUUUUCUGAUCCUCGCAGAUCAAAUGAUGUUUAAGGGAGUGUGGGAGCUAGCAGGUGCUCUGUCUAAAGUAGCCGUCCUCCUCUGGAACACUAUCAACAAUAAAAAAUAUAUAAAGUAGCCGUCCUCCAAUGCCAGUGUGCGUAAAACCAGCCAAUCACUGAUGGGGCCACCUCCCAGUGGGCCUGGAUAUGUGACUGACUGCACAGAAUAUUCUAGCUCUCCAGUGGCUGGACACCCGUUCUUGGAAUCCUACUUGAAAAACCAGACAGGCCUCAGAAACAUGCCUGCAUCUGUGACCCCGAGGUAGAUGCAUCAAAGAUACUGAUUGGCUGAAGCAGUGCUCGCAGGGAUGGGUGUAGAGGCUGGAAGGAAGAGGCGUGUGUUCUGGACCUCCAGCAUCUGAACUUGCUUUGCUGUUGGGCUAGAGCCCCUUCCUGGAGUUAAAGCUGAAAGCGCCAGGUAACCUGUUCCUGAACCUUCUUUGCAAGAGGGGCUUGGGCUCUGCAGAUGAGACGGUCCCCAUCCAG